GACGAACGCUGACGGCGUGCUUAACACAUGCGAGUCGAACGGUGAAGCGCCUUCCUUUUUGGUGGGUGUGGAUGAGUGGCGAACGGGUGAGUAACACGUGAGUAACCUGCCCCCUUCUUCUGGAUAACCGCAUGAAAGUGUGGCUAAUACGGGAUAUUCUGGGUCUGUCGCAUGAUGGGUCUGGGAAAGAUAUUGUUUCGGUGGGGGAUGGGCUCGCGGCCUAUCAGCUUGUUGGUGGGGUGAUGGCCUACCAAGGCGGUGACGGGUAGCCGGCCUGAGAGGGUGGACGGUCACACUGGGACUGAGACACGGCCCAGACUCCUACGGGAGGCAGCAGUGGGGAAUAUUGCACAAUGGGCGCAAGCCUGAUGCAGCGACGCCGCGUGAGGGAUGGAGGCCUUCGGGUUGUGAACCUCUUUCGCCAGUGAAGCAGGCCUGCCUCGUUUGUGGGUGGGUUGACGGUAGCUGGAUAAGAAGCGCCGGCUAACUACGUG
rnacentral:rRNA from 1 species